rnacentral:rRNA from 1 species
ACCCGCUGAACUUAAGCAUAUCAAUAAGCGGAGGAAAAGAAACCAACAGGGAUUGCCCUAGUAACGGCGAGUGAAGCGGCAACAGCUCAAAUUUGAAAUCUGGCGCAAGCCCGUGUUGUAAUUUGUAGAGGAUGCUUCUGGGCAGCGGCCGGUCUAAGUUCCUUGGAACAGGACGUCACAGAGGGUGAGAAUCCCGUAUGUGAUCGGUUGGCACCCGCUACGUAGCUCCUUCGACGAGUCGAGUUGUUUGGGAAUGCAGCUCUAAAUGGGAGGUAAAUGCCUUCUAAAGCUAAAUACCGGCCAGAGACCGAUAGCGCACAAGUAGAGUGAUCGAAAGAUGAAAAGCACUUUGGAAAGAGAGUUAAAAAGCACGUGAAAUUGUUGAAAGGGAAGCGCAUGCAACCAGACUUGUCCGCGGUGUUCCGCCGGUCUUCUGACCGGUCUACUCGCCGCGGGCAGGCCAGCAUCAUCUGGGAGCGCCGGAUAAAGGUAGCGGGAAUGUGGCCCCUCGGGGUGUUAUAGCUCGCUACACAAUACGGCGCCUCCCGGGUGAGGUCCGCGCUUCGGCUAGGAUGCUGGCGUAAUGGUUGUAUGCGGCCCGUCUUGAAACACGGACCAAGGAGUCUACCAUCUAUGCGAGUGUUCGGGUGUCAAACCCCUACGCGCAAUGAAAGUGAACGGAGGUGGGAACCGCAAGGUGCACCAUCGACCGAUCCUGAUGUCUUCGGAUGGAUUUGAGUAAGAGCAUAGCUGGUGGGACCCGAAAGAUGGUGAACUAUGCCUGAAUAGGGUGAAGCCAGAGGAAACUCUGGUGGAGGCUCGCAGCGGUUCUGACGUGCAAAUCGAUCGUCAAAUUUGGGUAUAGGGGCGAAAGACUAAUCGAACCAUCUAGUAGCUGGUUCCUGCCGAAGUUUCCCUCAGG